rnacentral:rRNA from 1 species
UACGGAGGGUGCGAGCGUUUGUCCGGAAUCACUGGGCGUAAAGGGCGCGUAGGCGGAGGUGUAAGUCUAUUCUGAAAGCUCCUGGCUAAACUGGGAGAGGCGAAUGGAGACUGCAUGUCUAGAGUGAGGAAGAGGAAAGUGGAAUUCCGCGUGUAGUGGUGAAAUGCGUAGAGAUGCGGAGGAACACCAGUGGCGAAAAGCGACUUUCUGGUCCUUUAACUGACGCUGAGGCGCGAAAAGCAUGGGGGAGCGAAACGGG